GCAGCCCCUUUCAGAAGCUAGAGUUGAAGGCAACCAACGAGGGAAGGACUGCACCACAAGAACUUGACUCUCAUGGAGAAAAUUGAUUAGAUGCUCAUGUAUUCUUGCCGGUCCAAACAUGGCUCACAUUUGCAUUUGCUGCCCUGGUUUUCAGAAUUCUUUUUUGCUGGGGAAUUAUUAUGUACUUGUCCUUGCAACUUUGACCAUUGAGAGUUUGCUGCAUACCCAUAAAUUUGAGAGUAUAGUAGGGCUAAGUCAACGACUUUGGGAUGCAAAGACAAGGAACCCUGUUAAUCUGUUUUUAUCGUAUAUGUACAGAGAAUGAACUUUUUGGCAAUAA